rnacentral:rRNA from 1 species
GGUUAAGCGACUAAGCGUACACGGUGGAUGCCCUGGCAGUCAGAGGCGAUGAAGGACGUGCUAAUCUGCGAAAAGCGUCGGUAAGGUGAUAUGAACCGUUAUAACCGGCGAUGUCCGAAUGGGGAAACCCAGUGCAAUUCGUUGCACUAUCGUUAACUGAAUACAUAGGUUAACGAGGCGAACCGGGGGAACUGAAACAUCUAAGUACCCCGAGGAAAAGAAAUCAACCGAGAUUCCCCCAGUAGCGGCGAGCGAACGGGGAGCAGCCCAGAGUCUGAAUCAGCUUGUGUGUUAGUGGAACGGUCUGGAAAGUCCGACGGUACAGGGUGAUAGUCCCGUACACCAAAAUGCACAGGUUGUGAACUCGAAGAGUAGGGCGGGACACGUGGUAUCCUGUCUGAAUAUGGGGGGACCAUCCUCCAAGGCUAAAUACUCCUGACUGACCGAUAGUGAACCAGUACCGUGAGGGAAAGGCGAAAAGAACCCCGGCGAGGGGAGUGAAAAAGAACCUGAAACCGUGUACGUACAAGCAGUGGGAGCACCUUCGGGUGUGACUGCGUACCUUUUGUAUAAUGGGUCAGCGACUUAUAUUCUGUAGCAAGGUUAACCGUAUAGGGGAGCCGCAGGGAAACCGAGUCUUAACUGGGCGUUAAGUUGCAGGGUAUAGACCCGAAACCCGGUGAUCUAGCCAUGGGCAGGUUGAAGGUUGGGUAACACUAACUGGAGGACCGAACCGACUAAUGUUGAAAAAUUAGCGGAUGACUUGUGGCUGGGGGUGAAAGGCCAAUCAAACCGGGAGAUAGCUGGUUCUCCCCGAAAGCUAUUUAGGUAGCGCCUCGUGAAUUCAUCUUCGGGGGUAGAGCACUGUUUCGGCUAGGGGGUCAUCCCGACUUACCAACCCGAUGCAAACUACGAAUACCGAAGAAUGUUAUCACGGGAGACACACGGCGGGUGCUAACGUCCGUCGUGAAGAGGGAAACAACCCAGACCGCCAGCUAAGGUCCCAAAGUCAUGGUUAAGUGGGAAACGAUGUGGGAAGGCACAGACAGCCAGGAUGUUGGCUUAGAAGCAGCCAUCAUUUAAAGAAAGCGUAAUAGCUCACUGGUCGAGUCGGCCUGCGCGGAAGAUGUAACGGGGCUAAACCAUGCACCGAAGCUGCGGCAGCGACACUAUGUGUUGUUGGGUAGGGGAGCGUUCUGUAAGCCUGCGAAGGUGACCUGUGAGGGUUGCUGGAGGUAUCAGAAGUGCGAAUGCUGACAUAAGUAACGAUAAAGCGGGUGAAAAGCCCGCUCGCCGGAAGACCAAGGGUUCCUGUCCAACGUUAAUCGGGGCAGGGUGAGUCGACCCCUAAGGCGAGGCCGAAAGGCGUAGUCGAUGGGAAACAGGUUAAUAUUCCUGUACUUGGUGUUACUGCGAAGGGGGGACGGAGAAGGCUAUGUUAGCCGGGCGACGGUUGUCCCGGUUUAAGCAUGUAGGCUGGUUGUCCAGGCAAAUCCGGAUAAUCAAGGCUGAGGUGUGAUGACGAGGCACUACGGUGCUGAAGUAACAAAUGCCCUGCUUCCAGGAAAAGCCUCUAAGCAUCAGGUAACAUUAAAUCGUACCCCAAACCGACACAGGUGGUCAGGUAGAGAAUACCAAGGCGCUUGAGAGAACUCGGGUGAAGGAACUAGGCAAAAUGGUGCCGUAACUUCGGGAGAAGGCACGCUGGUGUGUAGGUGAAGUCCCUGCGGAUGGAGCUGAGACCAGUCGAAGAUACCAGCUGGCUGCAACUGUUUAUUAAAAACACAGCAC